rnacentral:rRNA from 1 species
GACGUAGGGCGCGAGCGUUGUCCGGAAUUAUUGGGCGUAAAGAGCUUGUAGGCGGUCUGUCGCGUCUGCUGUGAAAAUCCGGGGCUCAACCCCGGACUUGCAGUGGGUACGGGCAGACUAGAGUGUGGUAGGGGAGACUGGAAUUCCUGGUGUAGCGGUGAAAUGCGCAGAUAUCAGGAGGAACACCGGUGGCGAAGGCGGUUCUCUGGGCCUUACCUGACGCUGAGGAGCGAAAGCGUGGGGAGCGAACAGG